UUCGAGCCGAGCGUAGCGAGACAACGUUGCUUUAGCAACGGCCCGCAGGGCGAGGCGUUAGCCGAGUCAUCUUCCUGGGUGCACCA
rnacentral:sRNA from 1 species